rnacentral:lncRNA from 10 species
GGCUGAAUAAAAUUCCAUUAAGAUUAUAUAUUGCAAUUUGUUUUUCCAUUCAUCUGCUGAUGGACAGCUGUGUCAUUUCUAUCUUUUGGCUAUUGUGAAUAUCGCACUGUAAACUGUGAACAUACGUAUACAAGUAUUUGAGUACCUGUUUUUAAUUUUUGGGUAUGUAUCUAGAAGUGGAAUUACUGGGUUAAUUGUUAAUUCUAAUUAAUUUUUUAUGUAGCCACCAAAUUGUUUUCUAUACUGGCUAAACAAUUUUAUGUAUUUCUAUAUAUUUUCACCAUUGCCGAUUUCAUUUUAAAAAGAAUUAUAUCCAUCUUAGUAGAUGUGAAGUAGUACCUCAUUGUGGAUUAAAUUUAUGUUUUCCCAGUGAGACCAAUGGGAUUGAGAAUUAUCUCCUAUGUUUUUUGUCUAUUUCUCUAUUUUCUUUGAAGAGAUGUCUAUUCAAGUUCUUUGCCCAUUUUUCAGUUGGGCUAUUUGUAUUUUUGUUGUUCAGUUGCAAGAGUUAUUUAUAUAUUCUGGAUAACACAUAUUCAGAUAGGUGAUUUGCAAAUGUUUUUUCUCAUUGUGUUUGUGAUUUACUUUUUUUUUACAAUGUAUUUUGAUGCACACAUUUUUUAUUUUGAAGUCAAAUUUAUCUGUUUUUAAAAAUUUCAUUGCCAAUGCUUUUGAUAUUACAUUUAUGUUAUUGACCCAUUUUGAAAUCAGAAAAUAUAAGUCUUCCAAAUUUAUUAUUUUUUUAAAGAUUGUUUUUGCUACUCAGGACCACUUGCAAUUCAUUAUGAAUUUAAGAAUAGGCUUUUCCAUUUUUUCAAAAUAAAAGGCUAUUGAUAUUUUGAUAGAGAUUGCUUUCAGUCUGCAGAUUCCUUAGGAAGUAUUGAUAUGUAAAUAGUAAUGUCUUCCUAUCCGGAACACUGGAUUUAUUUCCAUUUAUUAAGGUCUUCCUUAAGCAAUGCUUUCUUGUAUUUAUUGCACAGAUUUUACCUUUUUGGACCAACUUAUUUCUAAGUAUAAGAUUCUAUUGGAACCUACUGUAAAUAAAAUUGUUUCUUUUUUUUUUUUUUUUUCUUUUGAUGGAGUCUUGCCCCGUCGCCCAGGCUGGAGUGCAGUAGUGUGAUCUUAGCUCACUGCAACCUCCCGAUCCCAGGUUCAAGUGAUUCUCCUGCCUCAGACUCCCAGGUAGCUAGGAUUACAGGUGUGUGCCACCAUGCCAGGCUAAUUUUUGUAUUUCUAGUAGAGACAGAGUUUCACCAUGUUAGGCAGGCUGGUCUUGAACUCCUGACCUUAGGUGAUCCAUCCACCUGGGCCCCCCAAAGUGCUGGGAUUACAGGCGUGAGCCACCGCACCCGGCCUGCUUAUUCAUUUUCUUUUGGGGGUAUUUGCUGGUAAUUUAAAGGAAAACAACUCAUUUUUUGUGCAUUGAUCUUGUAUCCUGGACUGUUAAUUCGUUUACUAUUAUUAAAUAACAAAUUAUUAAUAAUAAAUUAAUUAUCAAUUGUGUGUGUGUUCUUUAUUAUUUUCUACAUAUAUUGCUUAAUGUCAUCUGGAAAGAUAGUUGUACUUCUUCCUUUCGAAUUUGAAUGUCCUUUAAGUCUUUUCUCUCUUCUAAUUGCUGUAGACAGUUUAUCCGUUAAAAUGUUAAAUAGCAGUGAUGGAAGUGGGCAUCAUUUUCUUGUUCUUUAUUUAAAGGGGAAAGGUUUCAAUACUUCACCAGUGAAUGUGAUAGUGGUUGUGGGGUUUUUGUUUUUGUUUUUGUUUCUGUUUUUAUACACAGCCUUUAAUGUUUUGAGGAAGUUCCCUUCUAUUUCUAGAGUGCUGAGUGUUCUUAUCAUUAUUCACGAUGCAAAAUUUGGUUUGUAAUUUUUUUUUCUUCUGAUAUCUUACUCAGAAUUUGGUAUGAAAGUAAUGCUGGCCACAUAAGAAUUAGUUAGGAAAUGUUUUCUCUCUUCUAUUUUUGGAAGACUUGGAAAAUGAUUAGUGUUAAUUCUUCAAAUGUUUGGCAGAAUUUACCAGUGAAGCCAUAUGGUCUUGGACUUUUCUUUGCUAUGAGUGUUUUAUAAAUUCCUGCAAAAUUGGUUCUCAUAGUUUCUGCU